AUUGAACGCUGGCGGCAUGCUUUACACAUGCAAGUCGAACGGUAACAGGGUGCUUGCACCGCUGACGAGUGGCGAACGGGUGAGUAAUGCAUCGGAAUGUACCGUGUAAUGGGGGAUAGCUCGGCGAAAGCCGGAUUAAUACCGCAUACGCCCUGAGGGGGAAAGUGGGGGACCGAAAGGCCUCACGUUAUACGAGCAGCCGAUGUCUGAUUAGCUAGUUGGUGAGGUAAAGGCUCACCAAGGCGUCGAUCAGUAGCGGGUCUGAGAGGAUGAUCCGCCACACUGGGACUGAGACACGGCCCAGACUCCUACGGGAGGCAGCAGUGGGGAAUUUUGGACAAUGGGCGCAAGCCUGAUCCAGCCAUGCCGCGUGUCUGAAGAAGGCCUUCGGGUUGUAAAGGACUUUUGUCCGGGAGAAAAUGCUAGUGGUUAAUAACCGCUGGGUCUGAGAGUACCGGAAGAAUAAGCACCGGCUAACUACGUG
rnacentral:rRNA from 1 species